rnacentral:tRNA from 1 species
AGAUAUUUAGGUUAUCAUAAACCAGAGACCUUCAAAGUCCCAAAUAGGGGCCUACCCCUAAUAUCUG